ACUCCUACGGGAGGCAGCAGUGGGGAAUAUUGGACAAUGGGCGCAAGCCUGAUCCAGCCAUGCCGCGUGAGUGAUGAAGGCCCUAGGGUUGUAAAGCUCUUUCACCGGUGAAGAUAAUGACGGUAACCGGAGAAGAAGCCCCGGCUAACUUCGUGCCAGCAGCCGCGGUAAUACGAAGGGGGCUAGCGUUGUUCGGAUUUACUGGGCGUAAAGCGCACGUAGGCGGACUAUUAAGUCAGGGGUGAAAUCCCGGGGCUCAACCCCGGAACUGCCUUUGAUACUGGUAGUCUUGAGUUCGAGAGAGGUGAGUGGAAUUCCGAGUGCAGAGGUGAAAUUCGUAGAUAUUCGGAGGAACACCAGUGGCGAAGGCGGCUCACUGGCUCGAUACUGACGCUGAGGUGCGAAAGCGUGGGGAGCAAACAGGAUUAGAUACCCCGGUAGUCCCA
rnacentral:rRNA from 1 species